rnacentral:lncRNA from 1 species
GAUCUCCAAGUUCUUCCUCAGUCUUGAGGUUUGGGAUUCCCGGUUUUUGUCAGUAGAAUUGUGAGAGUGUGAGUUCAUCCUAUUUUCUCAAGAACGAUUUGUUUUCUUGCAUGUAUUCCCUCUUCCGGUAUGAAUUUAGUAUCUUGGGAGAGCAACUGUAGACAGUGGUUCAAUAAGGAACGCAUACGAAAAAAAAUAUGGUCCAAACCAGAGUGUGCAAUGACAGAGGUAGUGACCACUGCCAAAGAUGCUCUAGAGUUUAAAGUCCACUCAAGCAUCUGGUAGUUAAUGUUAGUUUCCAAUGGAAAUCUAACCAGCAGUACUAGUGAUCAGCGGCUCAAUAAAUGCAGCACAAUUUAGAGCCUUGGUGGAUGAUGUUGGAUCAUUGAUGACCAAAAAAAAAAAAAAAACAUCUGGGAGUCCUCUGAGAUAUCCAUGAUGACCACAACAUUGGGAGUCUGAGGUCCACAUCAUAAUCUAUGCACUGCAUGCUGGGAUACUGGUGAGAGAUGUUAGAUAUAGUCCAAUUUCAACAAGGAGUUUACAUGUAGAUUAAUUAAUAUUUGGAAAUCGUGUCUACUGAUACAUAAUCCCAUAAGUAGAGUGCAAAUCAUUUAGACCGGGUAGAUCUGAGCCACAAACGAUGACAGAGGAAUCCCCAUAAGACAUGGAAAAUCAUUGUCUAUAUUCCUGGUGACGUCAGAGUCAUGGGUUUUGAUGUGUCAGGAAGACCAAUCCAAUUGGAUUGAUAGCUCAAGCAAGGGAUUGGAUAGAGGAGAAGUGAUCAAGGCAGAUAGAUGUAAAUUAUGGAUGAGUGAAGAGAAAGUUAAUCUUUUUGUCAUUUUUUUUCUGCAUUUUACUCUCAGAAUAGAUACCUCCAAGGUGAUCUCCAAGUUCUUCCUCAGUCUUGAGGUUUGGGAUUCCCGGUUUUUGUCAGUAGAAUUGUGAGUGUGUGAGUUCAUCCUAUUUUCUUCAGAACGAUUUCUUUCUUGCAUGUAUUCCCUCUUCCGGUAUGAAUUUAGUAUCUUGGGAGAGCAUCUGUAGACAGUGGUUCCAUAAGAAACGCCUAUGAAAAUAAUAUGUUCUAUUAACCGAUUUCUAUGAAGAGUAUGCAAUGACAGAGGUAGUGACCACUGCCAAAGAUGCUCUAGCGUUUAAAGUCCACUCAAGCAUCUGGUAGUUAAUGUUAGUUAUCAAUGGAAAUCUAACCAGCAGUACUAGUGAUCAGCUGUUCAAUAAAUGCAGCACAAUUUAGAGCCUGGGGGGAUGAUGUUGGAUCAUUGAUGACCUAAAAAAACAUCUGGGAGUCCUCUGAGACAUCCAUGAUGACCACAACAUUGGGAGUCUGAGGUCCACAUCAUAAUCUGUGCACUGCAUGCUCGGAUACUGGUUAGAGAUGUUAGAAAUAGUCCAAUUUCAACAAGCAGUUUACAUGUAGAUUAAUAUUUGGAAAUCGUGUCUACCGACACAUAAUCCCAUAAGUAGAGUGCAAAUCAUUUUGACCGGGUAGAUCUGAGCCAGAAACGAUGACAGAGGAAUCCCCAUAAGCCAUGGAAAAUCAUUGUCUAUGUUCCUGUUGACAUCAGAGUCAUGGUGGUUUUAUGGGUCAGGAAGAGCCAAUCCAAGUGGAUUGAUAGCUCAAGCAAGGGAUUGGAUAGAGGAGAAGUGAUCAGCUGUAAAUUAUGGAUGAGUAAAGAGAAAGUUAAUCUUUUUGUCAUUUUUUUUCUGCCUUUUACUCCCAGAAUACAUACCUCCACGGUGAUUUCAGAGUUCUUCCUCAGUCCUGAGGUUUGGGAUUCCCGGUUUGUGUCAGUAGAAUUGCGAGAGUGUGAGUUCAUCCUAUUUUCUUCAGUAUGAUUUUUUUCCUUGCAUGUAAUGCCUCUUCCCCUAUGAGUUGAUAAUCUUGGGAGAGCAACUGUAGACAGUGGUUAAAUAAGGAACGCAUACGAAAAAUAUAUGUUCCAUGAACUGAUACCUAUGAAGAGUGUGCAAUGACAGAUGUAAUGACCUUUGCCAAAGAUGCUCUAGAGUUUAAAAUCCACUCAAGCAUCUGGUAGUUAAUGUUAGUUUUCAAUGGAAAUCUAACCAGCACUACUAGUGUUCAGCCUCUCAAUAAAUGCAGCCCAGUUUAGAGCCUGGGGGGGAUGAUGUUGGAUCAUUGAUGACCAUAAAAGAUGUGGGAGUCGUCUGAAACAUGCAUGAUGACCACAACAUUGCGAGUCUGAGGUCCACAUCAUAAUCUAUGCACUGCAUACUGGGAUCCUGGUGAGAGAUGUUAGGAACAGUCUACUUUGAGCAUGUAGUUUUAAUGUAGAUUAAAGAAAAAAUUGGAAAUUGUGUCUACUAAGACAUAAUCCCAUAGGUAGUGUGCUAAUCAUCUUUACCGGGUAGUUUCUAAGUCAGAAACGAUGACAGAGGGAUCCCAAUAAGCCAUGGAAAGUCAUGGACUAUGUUCCUGGUGACGUCAGAGUCAUGGGCUUUGAUGUGUCAGGAAGAGCCAAUCCAAUUGGAUUGAUAAUUCAAGCAAGGGAUUGGAUAGAGGAGAAGUGAUCAAGGCAGAUAGAUGUAAAUUAUGGAUGAGUAAAGAGAAAGUUAAUCUUUUUGUCAUUUUUUUCUGCAUUUUACUCUCAGAAUAGAUACCUCCAAGGUGAUCUCCAAGUUCUUCCUCAGUCUUGAGGUUUGGGAUUCCCGGUUUGUGUCAGCACAAUUGUGAGAGUGUGAGUUCAUCCUAUUUUCUUCAGAACGAUUUUUUUCUUGCAUGUAUUCCCUUUUCCGGUAUGAAUUUAGUAUCUUGGGAGAGCAUCUGUAGACAGUGGUUCAAUAGGAACGCCUAAGAAAAUAAUAUGUUCCGUGAACCAAUUCCUAUGAAGACUGUGCAAUGACAGAGGUAGUGACCACUGUCCAAGAUGCUCUAGAGUUUAAAGUCCACUCAAGCAUCUGGUAGUUAAUGUUAGUUUUCAAUGGAAAUCUAACCAGCACUACUAGUGAUCAGCUGCUGAAUAAAUGGAGCACAAUUUAGAGCCUGGGGGGAUGAUAUUGGAUCAUUGAUGACCAUAAAAGAUGUGGGAGUCGUCUGAAACAUGCAUGAUGACCACAACACUGCGAGUUUUAGGUCCACAUCAUAAUCUAUGCACUGCAUGCUGGGAUCCUGGUGAGAGAUGUUAGAAAUAGACUACUUUGAACAAGGAGUUUACAUGUAGAUUAAUUAAAAUUUGGAAAUCGUGUCUAAUAAGACAUAAUCCCGUAGGAAGCUUGCUAAUCAUCUUGACCAGGUAGUAUCUGAAAUCCGAAAUGAUGACAGAGGAAUCCCCAUAAGCCAUGGAAAAUCAUUGGCUAUGUUCCUGGUGACGUCAGAGUCAUGGGGGAUUGAUGUGUCAGGAAGGGCCAAUCCAAGUGGAUUGAUAGCUCAAGCAAGGGAUUGGACGGAGGAGUAGUGAUCAAGGCAGAUAGCUGUAAAUUAUGUAUUAGUAAAUAGAAAGUUAAUCUUUUUGUCAUUUUUUUUCUACAUUUUACUCUCUGAAAAGAUACCUCCAAGGUGACUUCCAAGUUCUUCCUCAGUCCAGAGGUUUUGGUUUCUCAGUUUGAGUAAGCAGAAUGGGAGAGUGUGAGUUCAUCCUAUAUUCUUCUGUAUGGUUGUGGAUGACUUAAGGAUCUUGUUCCUAACCCUUUUUGACUCCUAGUCCCCUACAUGUUAUUAGGGAAAUGGCAGGGUAAUUAAUCAAUACGUGUAGAAAUGUAUUGUAGUUGACCUAUUUUGUAUCAAUAGUGACCACCAUGUUUACAGUUCUGUAUGUCUGAAGUCUACCCUGUAUUUUAACAGUGGUCCUCCUCACAGAUGUGAGAAUAGAGGCAGCAUUGUAUCCUUGUAGAUAGUAUUAAUGGAUACACAUGUAUAAAAAUAUAAAUAAGAAUUGUUCUGGGUUGGGGAUUUAGCUCAGUUGUAGAGCACUUGCCUAGCAAGUGCAAGGCCCUGGGUUCGGUCCCCAGCUCCGAAAAAAAGAAAAAAGAGAAGAAGAAAAAAAAAGAAUUGUGGUGAUAUUCAAAUUAUAGAAUAAGGAUGAAUGUAAUUUUGCUAUACAGUAGACAUAUUUGUUUUGUUUUGUUUUUUUUUAUCAGUAGCUCCAAUGUAUUUUCUCGGAUGACAUGGCCUGUAGACUUAACGGCUAAUGUUCUAAUUUUGACUUAGUAAAAUAUUCGUUGCCAUUCUGUUUCUGAAGAGUGAGUAGACAUGACUAGAUAAUUUAUAGGUAAGUUGAUGAGUCAGUGGCAUCUCGUUUUGUUCUUGUCUGUUCUCAGAGAGGCCCACUUCAGAUCAACGAGUGGAUCCUGUCUCAACCUAAGCUCUAAGGUUGCUUGUGCUGUUAGGGUCACAGCUACAGUGAGUGACAAUUACAGUAAUACUUUUUUAAUGUCUUUUUUUAGAUGACGGUACAUGUAGAGAUUCAGUGUGCUUAGCAUGAUCAGGGAUAGGCUCUUGUCACCAAACUAGUUACCACUACCUACAAUCUAUACACAUCAAAUACCAGAUGUCUUGGACUUAAAAGUCCAAAGAGAGGGGGAACUUUGGUAACUGCCUCUCUUGGUGAUAGUCCUGUAGUAAGUUGGUGAAAAGAUACAAGAGUUUUGUGAUUAAUUUUGUUCUUCAUGGACUUUGAUAUUAUUGUUACAAUUUCAUAUAUUAAAAUUAGAAAAAGUCAAUG